rnacentral:tRNA from 1 species
GGCCUGUUGGUCUAGUCGUAUGAUUGUCGCUUCGGGUACACCCACCUCAGGUUGAAAAAGCCGUGAAAUGUGACAGGUCCCGGGUUCAAAUCCCGGACAGGCCC